rnacentral:rRNA from 1 species
CCCACGGGUGGCAGCAGUGGGGAAUAUUGGACAAUGGGCGAAAGCCUGAUCCAGCCAUGCCGCGUGUGUGAAGAAGGCCUUCGGGUUGUAAAGCACUUUCAGUGGGGAAGAAAGCCUUGGGGCUAAUACCCUCGAGGAAGGACAUCACCCACAGAAGAAGCACCGGCUAACUCCGUGCCAGCAGCCGCGGUAAUACGGAGGGUGCGAGCGUUAAUCGGAAUUACUGGGCGUAAAGCGCGCGUAGGCGGUCUGAUAAGCCGGUUGUGAAAGCCCCGGGCUCAACCUGGGAACGGCAUCCGGAACUGUCAGGCUAGAGUGCAGGAGAGGAAGGUAGAAUUCCCGGUGUAGCGGUGAAAUGCGUAGAGAUCGGGAGGAAUACCAGUGGCGAAGGCGGCCUUCUGGACUGACACUGACGCUGAGGUGCGAAAGCGUGGGUAGCAAACAGGAUUAGAUACCCCUGUAGUC